UAGACAUUACUAGAACCCAUUCCUCAAGACACUGUAUUCAGACAGAGCCUACUCAAUGUAAAGACGAUGAGGAUGAAGGCCUUCGUGAUGAUCCACUUCCACUUAAUAAUUUUGCUUUCUACUCUUGUCAGUCAUAUCUGCAAGGCUGACAGUUACCAGGGGCUGUGGCCAGGCAUGAGGGAGAAUGUGUCAUUGCUGGCUGUGUUGGUCAUAGCAACGUGUCUGCCUCAGAAGAGAUCCAGCA